rnacentral:rRNA from 1 species
UUGCCAGCCCGCUACAGAAACUUAAGGAAUUGACGGGGCCCGCACAAGCGGUGGAGCAUGUGGUUUAAUUCGAUGAUACGCGAGGAACCUUACCUGGGCUCAAAUGUAUGUUGACGUAUCUGAAAGGGAUACUUCUUCGGACAAUAUACAAGGUGCUGCAUGGUUGUCGUCAGCUCGUGCCGUGAGGUGUCGGGUUAAGUCCCGCAACGAGCGCAACCCUAUUGCUAGUUACCAUCAUUAAGUUGGGGACUCUAGCGAGACUGCCAGUGAUAAACUGGAGGAAGGUGGGGAUGACGUCAAAUCAUCAUGCCCCUUAUGACCUGGGCUACAAACGUGAUACAAUGGCUGGAACAAAGGGAUGCGAAGCAGUGAUGUGGAGCGAAACCCAUAAAAACAGUCUCAGUUCGGAUUGAAGUCUGCAACUCGACUUCAUGAAGUCGGAAUCGCUAGUAAUCGCGGAUCAGAACGCCGCGGUGAAUACGUUCUCGGGGUUU